AAUAAUAUUGGUUUCUCUUCUGGGUGCAAGCAGAUUUAUCUCACUCCUCAGUCAACAAAAUCAUCAUCCCAAGAAACAUGGAAACGAAGGCAUUUUAAAAAGAGAUGUCAACCUUUGUGAAAAUAAAGCCUUCUAUAGUCAUGUUCGCACCAAUCUCCUCUGAGUUUCACGAAGAAAACCAAACUGAAGACAGCAUUCUAUGAAAGCUGAUGGAUAAUGUGGCGAAUCCUCCAGGGUUCUUCAUCAGCAUGCUGUGAGAAUAAGCACAUGGACUUCUGCACAUUAAAAUCACUGAUCACUUUAGUAACUCCCGGGAACCUGCAUCCUGACUUCCAGCCAUCGAUACCUGUGUGAAACUUGAUCUCCACUCAUCCUUUAAGACCAUUGAUGAAUCCAUCAGAACUUUUGAAAGCAAAGGACAACUGAAGAAAUCUUAGUGAAAGAGAGUUAGGUGUUGGAAACAAACUCCCAAGAGACAAGGCUUAUCUUGGUACUUACCAUCUAAGAACACAUAUAAUCAGCACCUAAAAAAGGAAACAUGAACAGCACAUGUAUUGAAGAACAGCAUGACUUGGAUCACUAUUUGUUUCCAGUUAUUUACAUCUUUGUGGUAAUAGUCAGCAUUCCAGCCAACAUCGGUUCUCUAUGUGUGUCUUUUCUGCAAGCAAAGAAGGAAAAUGAAUUAGGCAUUUACCUCUUCAGUUUAUCCUUAUCUGAUCUGCUGUAUGCCUUAACUCUCCCUCUAUGGAUUGAUUAUACUUGGAAUAAAGACAACUGGACAUUCUCUCCUGCCCUGUGCAAAGGGAGUGCCUUCUUCAUGUACAUGAACUUUUACAGUAGCACAGCUUUCCUCACCUGCAUCGCGAUUGAUCGGUAUUUAGCAGUUGUCUACCCUUUGAAGUUUUCUUUUCUAAGGUCAAGAAGAUGUGCGUUCAUGGUGAGCCUCUUCAUCUGGAUAUUGGAAACCAUCUUCAAUGCUGUCAUUCUGUGGGAAGAUGAAACAGCUGUUGAAUAUUGUGAUGCCACAAAGUCUAACUUUACUUUAUGCUACGACAAAUAUCCUUUGGAGAAAUGGCAAAUCCGGUUUAACUUUGUUAGGACGUGUGUAGGCUAUAUGAUACCUUUGGUCAUCAUAAUGGCUUGCAACCAGAAAGUCUACAAAGCUGUGCAGCAAAAUCAAGCUACAGAAAACAGUGAAAAGAAGAGAAUCAUAAAACUACUUGUUAGUAUCACGUUGACUUUUAUCUUGUGUUUUACUCCCUUUCAUGUGAUGUUGCUGAUUCGCAGCGUUUUAGAGCAUGAUGUGAGCUUGGAUGAACGUAUGUUUGACCAUAACAAGCCUGGGAAGCAGAGUUAUAAAAUCUAUAGAAUCACAGUUGCAUUAACAAGUUUAAAUUGUGUUGCUGAUCCAAUUCUGUACUGUUUUGUAACUGAAACAGGAAGAUCGGAUAUGUGGAAUGUAUUCAGAGUCUUUACUGAGAAGCUUAAUAAAUCAAAAAGACGAGGAAAAAGCAUACUUUCUAUGUCUACAAAAGAUACUGUGGAAUUAGACAUCCUGGAAUAGAACCAAGGUCUAAUUUUUUAAAGAUAUGCAAUAUUAUACCAUCAAGAUUAUAUUUUCAAAAGGAGAUCUCAGCAUGAGAGGGGAGUAAAGGUUCCCACUGAGGGACUAUCUUAAUCCUCUCUGAUGGAAAUAUUUCAAACGUGUGCUCUAUAGCUCCCUGACUUUUAUUAAACAAGAAUUAAACAAAAUUGAAUAUUUUCCUAAUGACUCAGGAUCAUCACUGUAGAAUGGCAAUUGCUUCUGUAUCUGUGCUCUAAUCGCUCAGAGGGACAGAAGCUCUUGCGCUCAGGACCCUCCCAGGCCUCGCCCUGUGUGUCUCUUCACCUGUGUUCAUCUGUAUCCUUCUUCAUAUCCUUUAGUAAACUGGUAAACCUAAGUGUUGCCCUGAGUUCUGUGAGCCACUCUAGCAAAUUAAUCAAACCUGAAGGAGGGUUAUAGGAACCUCUGAUCUGAAGUCCAACUGGACAGAAGCUGUGGGUAACCUGGGCUCCUGCUACUUGUGACUGGCCUCUGAAGUGAGGCAGGAGCCGUCUUCUGGGACUGACCCCUUAACGUGUGGGAUCUGACUCCCUCUCCAUGUAGAUAGUAUCAGAAUUGAGUUAAACUGCAGGACACCCAGCUGGUGUUGCCGGGAUUUGCUUGGUGUGGGGAAAAACCUCCACACAUUUGGUGACCAGAAGUGUCAGAAGUGGUGUUUUGUGUGAGUGCUAAAGAAGACACAUGGAACACACAUAGUAAAGGAAAAACUGGGUAUGUUUUUUCCUUUAAAGCCCCAAUUCCCAGAGAUUCGGUUCCAGUAGGGCUAGGGUGGGGUCUGAGAAUUUGCAUUUCUGACAUGUUUCCCAGUAACCCUGAUGUGGGCGAGCUACACACUGAGACCGCAGCUCUAAUCUCAUGCCACUCUCUCCCAGGAUCUUCUUUGUCAAUUACCACCUACCAGAGAAAAAGUACUGCCUCUCCCACAGUGAAGGUACAAAUGUAUACAGCCUGCAGGCAGGGAGUAUAUCUGUGGGUCCCUCCCACUCCCAAGGCCAGUCCCUACCUGCAGUUUACUAAGAGACAGAAAUCAUUACGUUUCAAAAACUGUGUCCAGGUAGGUUUCUGGCUGUGGUUUCUAACUCGCAGAAUUGAACAGAAGCAAUUAGACUGAAAGCUGCCAGGUUUUAAGGGCCUGUAUAGCCUUUCACCUCUCUGGUCUCACGGCACUGAAGUGGAGGCUACAUUUGGUUCUUUUGCCAAUAGUGCUCUCCUGUAUCUCUUCCACCAGGUCAGAAGCUGUUGGAGAGUAGAAACCACAUUUUAUUCACCUCUGUAUCUCUUCCAAGCCCGUGCUCAGCUCCCUUGCUAGAAAUGAACAUAAAGUUUUGCACAUUCUAGAUGUAACAGGAAUCACAUUUAGAAGAUAUUAAACAGCUACACUUUCUAUUCUCAUAUGACUGAUGUUCUCUCAAAGCCCAUCCAUCAUUAAAGCUCAGUUUACUGCCCAGGAAAAAAGAGGGAGGUAUCGAAGAGUCAUAGUUCAUGAAAGAAGAUAUCACUAAGAGAUGUCCCACUGGGUAGAAAGCUGAAGCAGACAUACCUUCUGAUUCUAGGAGGAAGCCAUGAGGUAGAGAAAGCUAGAGCAAGAGAGAGGACAUGCCCCUGGGGUCAAAUCAAGAGAGGUCAAGGAGGAAAGGCAGAAGCAGAGGGGGCUUUCCUGUUUGGGGCCUGAGGAGGAGGCCACCUUCAGAGAACUCCUGCAAAAAAUAAAAAGAGAAAAUGGCAACAGAAGAGAAAAAUAGACAUGGUAGUAUGCCAAGAGGAUGCAAAAAAAAAGGUAUCUGGGAACGGUCAGCUCAUGUGGGGCAGGGAUGGUAUCCAAACACUCUGACAUGCUCCCAGAGGUGGAAAGGUGUGGAAGAGUGAGGAGGGCGGUGGGAAGAGCAGGGGGAAACUGACCCUGUGGCAGAAGCUAUAUGGUGGAAAACCAUAGACCCAGGAUGGAGGGAGGUGGCUGAGACCCAGAGAAUCUGCAGCUUUAGUGAGGACCAAUGUGACGGAGAAACCCUGGACCCCAGUAGGCCACCACAUCGCAAGUCAUGCUGACUGCAGUGUCAGCAGUUUCUACCAGGAGGAUCCCCAGUGGAUGGACAGGACAUCAUCUCAAAGGCUAGAGGGGACCAGGGGACAGCAUCAGGACCCGUAGGUGGACAUCACCCCUUUCCUCGCCACAAAGAGGACAGCUAAGCUUCCCUUCCACCCAGGAGUCAUCUUGUGGAUAUCUAAG